rnacentral:rRNA from 1 species
GCAAUCCAUGAGUAAAGUGGCGCACGGGUGAGUAACACGUGAAUUAUCUACCUCCGAGUGGGGAAUAACUGAGAGAAAUCUUAGCUAAUACCGCAUAACACUUACGAGUCAAAGCAGCAAUGCGCUUGGAGAGGAGUUCGCGGCCGAUUAGUUAGUUGGCGGGGUAAUGGCCCACCAAGACGAUGAUCGGUAUCCGGCCUGAGAGGGCGCACGGACACACUGGAACUGAAACACGGUCCAGACUCCUACGGGAGGCAGCAGUGGGGAAUUUUGCGCAAUGGGGGAAACCCUGACGCAGCAACGCCGCGUGGAGGAUGACAUAUCUUGGUAUGUAAACUCCUUUCGAUAGGGAAGAUUAUGACGGUACCUACAGAAGAAGCCCCGGCUAACUUCGUGCCAGCAGCCGCGGUAAUACGAGGGGGGCAAGCGUUGUUCGGAUUUAUUGGGCGUAAAGGGUGCGUACGCGGUUUGAUAAGUCUGGUGUGAAAUCUU